rnacentral:tRNA from 1 species
GUUCCUGUAGCGCAAUGGAUAGCGCGUUGGACUUCUAAUCCAAAGGUCGUGGGUUCGAAUCCUACUAGGGAUG